AGUAAUUUAGGGGGUAAUGUCAGGAAUAGGAUGCAGCACUCCCACUAACCCUAAUAUNAUAAAUAUUGGCUUCUGAAUUUCAAUGUCAGUUAUUGUGCCUGCAGAACUGAAGAAAUCUGAAGGAAUAUUACGUCUGAACAUUGACACCAACGACAUUGAGCUCUCUUGAUUCCUAAAUGCAGGUCCAAUAUAUUAAUCUUAUAAAUAACCUCAGAAUUGGUUCAAAGUUCAUCAAAAUCCACAAACUGGGAGAUGAAAUAUGGCCACCUCUUCUUUAAACACUGUCUACUGUUUACUUCAUACGAUAAAGAUUAUUUUUUAUUUAUAAUGAUUGUCACUGUGAUAAGUUGCCUUCAAACCCAUCGAUCUGUUACAUAAACUGAGCUUCCUGGAUGGUAUUAAGUCUCCCUCCCUCCCUGUCACUUGUUUUAUGAAAUAGGACGUAUAAUAGGACUCAACAAUAGACACAAAUGAUUGAAUAAGAUGGAGACUUUUUGCAGUGGAGAUGGAAAUAUGGCAUUAAUGCUGCUGUAAGUUACAAUCAGACCCAGUUUUUAUGUAAAAUCACACAUUACAUAAUAAUGAGGGGUGGAGAGGUCUGUGUGUGUGUGUGGGGGGGUGUGUGUUGCUGUUUGGAGGAGGGACUCCAUCAUUUAGAGAAGUGAGGAGUUCCUGGUUUGUCAGUGAAGACGGAAGAGAGGCAGCGAUAAACCAUCAGAGCCUCCAACAUGAAAGUCUGUCACACUUUGAUCUGCUUCUUCUUCCUCUCACUGCGGGAUGGAAACACUGGUCUCAUUAAUGCAGAAAACCUCAUCCGUACAGGAAAUGAAGGAGGAAACAUUACAGUUAAAUGCUCCUUCUCUUUCUCUGGGAAAUGGAAGAUCUUCUGUAAGAGAGAAUGUGAAGGAAAAGACAUUCUCAUUAAAACAGAUAAGAACAGAGCUCAGAGUGACAGAUACAGCAUUGAAUAUAAAGAAGGAACAUUUCCAGCAUCUAAAAC
rnacentral:lncRNA from 15 species